GGGUGAGUAACACGUGGGUAACCUGCCCAAGAGACUGGGAUAACACCUGGAAACAGAUGCUAAUACCGGAUAACAACACUAGACGCAUGUCUAGAGUUUGAAAGAUGGUUCUGCUAUCACUCUUGGAUGGACCUGCGGUGCAUUAGCUAGUUGGUAAGGUAACGGCUUACCAAGGCAAUGAUGCAUAGCCGAGUUGAGAGACUGAUCGGCCACAUUGGGACUGAGACACGGCCCAAACUCCUACGGGAGGCAGCAGUAGGGAAUCUUCCACAAUGGACGAAAGUCUGAUGGAGCAACGCCGCGUGAGUGAAGAAGGGUUUCGGCUCGUAAAGCUCUGUUGGUAGUGAAGAAAGAUAGAGGUAGUAACUGGCCUUUAUUUGACGGUAAUUACUUAGAAAGUCACGGCUAACUACGUGCCAGCAGCCGCGGUAAUACGUAGGUGGCAAGCGUUGUCCGGAUUUAUUGGGCGUAAAGCGAGUGCAGGCGGUUCAAUAAGUCUGAUGUGAAAGCCUUCGGCUCAACCGGAGAAUUGCAUCAGAAACUGUUGAACUUGAGUGCAGAAGAGGAGGGUGGAACUCCAUGUGUAGCGGUGGAAUGCGUAGAUAUAUGGAAGAACACCAGUGGCGAAGGCGGCUCUCUGGUCUGCAACUGACGCUGAGGCUCGAAAGCAUGGGUAGCGAACAGGAUUAGAUACCCUGGUAGUCCAUGCCGUAA
rnacentral:rRNA from 1 species